rnacentral:sRNA from 1 species
UGACGUCGGCGAGGGCGCAGUUACCCUGUU